rnacentral:rRNA from 1 species
AUUGAACGCUGGCGGCAGGCCUAACACAUGCAAGUCGAACGGUAACAGGAAGCAGCUUGCUGCUUUGCUGACGAGUGGCGGACGGGUGAGUAAUGUCUGGGAAACUGCCCGAUGGAGGGGGAUAACUACUGGAAACGGUAGCUAAUACCGCAUAACGUCGCAAUACCAAAGAGGGGUACCUUAGGGCCUCUUGCCAUCGGAUGGGCCCAGAUGGGAUUAGCUAGUAGGUGGGGUAACGGCUCACCUAGGCGACGAUCCCUAGCUGGUCUGAGAGGAUGACCAGCCACACUGGAACUGAGACACGGUCCAGACUCCUACGGGAGGCAGCAGUGGGGAAUAUUGCACAAUGGGCGCAAGCCUGAUGCAGCCAUGCCGCGUGUAUGAAGAAGGCCUUCGGGUUGUAAAGUACUUUCAGCGGGGAGGAAGGGAGUAAAGUUAAUACCUUUGCUCAUUGACGUUACCCGCAGAAGAAGCACCGGCUAACUCCGUG